rnacentral:lncRNA from 1 species
UAACACAGUAAAUCUAAUAUUGUUAAAUCCUCGGGAUUGUGGGUUGAGAACUUGUGCAAUUCUUCCUUAUAUUCUGAGCAUUAAUUGUAGAAUUUAUAUUCUCAUCUUUUCUUAGUUGUGAUAUCUAAAUAUUAACCAUGGAAUUUGUGCCCUCAUCCCUAUGAGUGAGAACCGAAAGGAUGAAGGUAGCAGGGGAUGGGAUUGGCGACAGGGGUUACGUGGCCAUUUUAGAGAGGAGGUGGGGG